AAACAGGCUUAUUUAUAAGCCACUCAUAACGUCUAAGAGAUGUCU
rfam:Megaselia scalaris, Durham, NC isolate 2 -- Noor lab, WGS project CAQQ02000000 data, contig: ctg0000365708